rnacentral:rRNA from 1 species
UACAGAGGGUGCGAGCGUUGUCCGGAAUUACUGGGCGUAAAGCGCGUGUAGGCGGCUAAGUAAGUCGGGCGUGAAAUCCCACGGCUCAACCGUGGAAGUGCACUCGAAACUGCAUAGCUAGAGUCCUGGAGAGGAAGGUGGAAUGCUUGGUGUAGAGGUGAAAUUCGUAGAUAUCAAGCGGAACACCUGUGGUGUAGACGGCUUUCUGGACCAUAGCUGACGCUGAGCACACGAAAGCGUGGGUAGCAAACAGG